GUUUGGUUAAUUCCGAUAACGAACGAGACUUUAGCCUAUUAAAUAGUUCGUCGAUUGUCUUCUGUCGGCGCUAACUUUUUAGAGGGACAAGUGGCGUUUAGCCACCCGAGAUUGAGCAAUAACAGGUUUGUGAUGCCCUUAGAUGUUCGGGGCCGCACGCGCGCUACACUGAAGGAAUCAGCGUGUUUAACCUAGUCCGACAGGACCGGGAAACCCGUUGAACCUCCUUCGUGCUAGGGAUUGGGGCUUGUAAUUGUUCCCCAUGAACGAGGAAUUCCCAGUAAGCGCGAGUCAUAAGCUCGCGUU
rnacentral:rRNA from 1 species